rnacentral:rRNA from 1 species
CCUACGGGAGGCAGCAGUGGGGGAUAUUGCACAAUGGGGGAAACCCUGAUGCAGCGACGCCGCGUGGGUGAAGAAGCGCCUCGGCGCGUAAAGCCCUGUCAGCAGGGAAGAAAAUGACGGUACCUGAAGAAGAAGCCCCGGCUAACUACGUGCCAGCAGCCGCGGUAAUACGUAGGGGGCAAGCGUUAUCCGGAUUUACUGGGUGUAAAGGGGGCGCAGACGGCGAUGCAAGCCAGGAGUGAAAGCCCGGGGCCCAACCCCGGGACGGCUCUUGGAACUGGGUGGCUAGAGUGCAGGAGGGGCAGGCGGAAUUCCUGGUGUAGCGGUGAAAUGCGUAGAGAUCAGGAGGAACACCGGUGGCGAAGGCGGCCUGCUGGACUGCAACUGACGUUGAGGCCCGAAAGCGUGGGGAGCAAACAGGAUUAGAUACCCCAGUAGUC